rnacentral:rRNA from 1 species
UGAUCCUGGCUCAGAUUGAACGCUGGCGGCAGGCCUAACACAUGCAAGUCGAACGGUAACAGGAUAGCUUGCUAUCGCUGACGAGUGGCGGACGGGUGAGUAAUACUUAGGGAUCUGCCUCUGUGUGGGGGAUAACUAUUGGAAACGAUAGCUAAUACCGCAUAAUGUCUACGGACCAAAGCGGGCUUCGGCUCGUGCGCAGAGAGGAACCUAAGCGAGAUUAGCUAGUUGGUGAGGUAAAGGCUCACCAAGGCGACGAUCUCUAGCUGUUCUGAGAGGAAGAUCAGCCACACUGGAACUGAGACACGGUCCAGACUCCUACGGGAGGCAGCAGUGGGGAAUAUUGCACAAUGGGGGAAACCCUGAUGCAGCCAUGCCGCGUGUGUGAAGAAGGCCUUCGGGUUGUAAAGCACUUUCAGUUGUGAGGAAAGUUUAGUAGUUAAUACCUGCUAGAUGUGACGUUAGCAACAGAAGAAGCACCGGCUAACUCCGUGCCAGCAGCCGCGGUAAUACGGAGGGUGCGAGCGUUAAUCGGAAUUACUGGGCGUAAAGCGCACGCAGGCGGUCUGUUAAGCUAGAUGUGAAAGCCCCGCGCUCAACGUGGGAGGGUCGUUUAGAACUGGCAGACUAGAGUCUUGGAGAGGGGAGUGGAAUUCCAGGUGUAGCGGUGAAAUGCGUAGAGAUCUGGAGGAACAUCAAUGGCGAAGGCAACUCCCUGGCCAAAGACUGACGCUCAUGUGCGAAAGUGUGGGUAGCGAACAGGAUUAGAUACCCUGGUAGU